GACGAACGCUGGCGGCGGGCUUAACACAUGCAAGUCGAACGGAAAGGCCCUGGUUUUGUGGGGUGCUCGAGUGGCGAACGGGUGAGUAACACGUGAGUAACCUGCCCUUGACUUUGGGAUAACUUCAGGAAACUGGGGCUAAUACCGGAUAGGAGCUCCUGCUGCAUGGUGGGGGUUGGAAAGUUUCGGCGGUUGGGGAUGGACUCGCGGCUUAUCAGCUUGUUGGUGGGGUAGUGGCUUACCAAGGCUUUGACGGGUAGCCGGCCUGAGAGGGUGACCGGCCACACUGGGACUGAGAUACGGCCCAGACUACUACGGGACGCAGCGGUGGGGAAUAUUGCACAAUGGGCGGAAGCCUGAUGCAGCAACGCCGCGUGCGGGAUGACGGCCUUCGGGUUGGAAACCGAUGUCGCCUGUGACGAAGCGUGAGUGACGGUAAUGGGUAAAGAAGCCCCGGCUAACUCCGUG
rnacentral:rRNA from 1 species